AAAUUAGACAUGGUGGUAUAUGAUACUCAGAACCUUGUCCUUCCUCAUAGGUAAUUACCUUGGGGGGCACAUUAUCCGCAGCGAUGGAUUUCUUCACAGCCCGUUUCGCAGCAAUGGUCUAUUUUUUCGGUACUGGAGGGAUUGCGGCUUCAAGCUCAUCUAUUGCAGAGUGUUUCUUUGCUACAGAGGAAGUCCUAGCCUUAGCAGAUGGUUGAGCCUUAACUUCAACUAUAGCAUCAGAACUAGUGCUGCUGGAGGACUCAAAUAUCUCCUCCUGGUCAUCACCUAUCAUGACUUCCCAC
rnacentral:lncRNA from 1 species